GCAGUCCACAACGGCCCUGGGUGCCAGGAGCUCUUAGUCUCAAACAGCCUCCCAAGCUGUCCCCUGCGGUGGAGAUUGAACCCCUUGAGCCGCCGCUAGGACCUGGAGAGGUGGAAUUUCAAUUUGAAACUCCCGUCGCGGGAGGGCUGGCGCUGGGCAUGCUCAGUAGCCGCGGCGCGUGGGGCUGCUGCUGUAGCUGUUCUGCGGGGUGGCGCGGGGUCCCCGCACUGUUACCUCCUCUGCUGCGGGGCUUCCAGAAGGCCGAGCCUUCACCUCGCCCCCGCCCGCUCCCGUGUCCCUCAUCCACCGCCUCCUACUCUUCUUCCUCUCCGCAUCUUUGAGAGAGAGGAAGCUGGUGCUGUUUUCUGUCGGCGGCGCUACAGACCGACCGCCCUGGAAACCCCAGCGGAGGACCCUGCGAACGAAUUCCGGAUCGGAGGACCGUUGGCAGUGGCUCGUUCACUUCGCACUUUGCCUGAAGUGGGGUCUUGGCAGAAUUUCUCCUCCACCCCUCAAUGCAAACACUAUGCGGAGAACAGUCGGCUUCCCUGCGCUAUGCCUGCUUCUUAAUCUUCACGCUGCAGGGUGUUUUUCAGGACAUAAUCAUCACUUUUUGGCAGUUCACCACAGGAAGAAUGGGAAGCCAUUAUUCAUCUAUCACCAUUCACAAGACCUUGAGAAGAGCCUGGAUAUUGCUCCACAAAAGAUAUAUAAACAUAGUUACCAUUCUGCUCCUGAAACUUGGAGAAGCAAAAGCCAGCAAAUAAUUAACUCAGCAUUUCCCAGAACUGCAUAUGACCCAUCUCUCAAUCUGCUGGCCGCAGCUGGUCAAGACCUUGAAGUGGAAAAUCUUCCAAUUCCAGCAGCAAAUGUAAUCGUGGUGGUGGUUGGGAAGAUCAGAAAUAUGAGAAUUUCUUUGCCUUUAAGAUAAUAAACCACUUGGGGAGGAAAGCUGGCACCCAAUCUAUGCUUGCCCAAUGCCAGGGACUUAUGGUAAAUAAUUUUUGGCCUUGCUUUCCACUGAUAAACUUGUUUUUAUUUCUCAGAACCUCUCUUGACUUCCUGGUACCUAUCAAUGUUUCUAGAUAUGUAUAUCUCCUUCUCUCUUUCCCCCAGAGUCUCAGGGGGACUCUACCCAUUACAAAUCCCCUGCCCUUAUAUCCUCCACCA
rnacentral:lncRNA from 1 species